AUCCCCUGUACUUCUUCCUUUGUUCUGCUUUAUUUUUUCAAGAGUAUGGAGUAAGAUAAAUUGCGGAUUUACUAUGUUUAUCCAAAUUCAGGCCUGUUGUUUUGUCUGUGUGCAAUUGCACUUAUGGGGGUUCUUGCUGCAUACCAAUGUCACUUUCAUGAAGAUUGGACAUUCUAGUCAGAUUUGAGGGAUUGACGCCUUAGGAAAAGACGAAGUAUGUUUGGAAGAUGCUGUUUGGAAGAUGCUGUAUAUAUAUAUGCUUGGUUAUGAUGUAGAUUUUGGCCACAUGGAAUGCACCAAAAUAUCUUGAAAAGCAGGUUGGAUACAUUGUAAUAGCAUGUUUACUCAAUGAAAACCACAAUUUCCUCUGAUUAGCUAUAAACACUGUCGUCAAUGAUAUCAUUGGUCAGAAUGAGACCUUCCACUUCCAAUGCUUGGCAUUGAAUAUGGUGGGGAAUAUUGGUGGUAGAGAGUUUGCUGAAUCUCUGGCACCUGAUGUGCAAAAGUUACUUAUUUCUAUAGCUGCAGACCCCUUGUGAG